rnacentral:rRNA from 1 species
UACAGAGGUCCCAAGCGUUGUUCGGAUUCACUGGGCGUAAAGGGUGCGUAGGCGGUCGGGUAAGUCUGACGUGAAAUCUCCGGGCCUAACCCGGAAACUGCGUUGGAAACUGCCUGGCUAGAGGAAUGGAGGGGGGACUGGAAUUCUCGGUGUAGCAGUGAAAUGCGUAGAUAUCGAGAGGAACACCAGUGGCGAAGGCGAGUCCCUGGACAGGUCCUGACGCUGAGGCACGACAGCGUGGGGAGCAAACAGG